rnacentral:rRNA from 1 species
AGCAGCCGCGGUAAUUCCAGCUCCAAUAGCGUAUAUUAAAGUUGUUGCAGUUAAAAGCUCGUAGUUGAAUUUCGGGGUCAGUAGGUCGGUCGUGCCACUGGUAUGAACUGGUUUUACUGAUUCCUCCCUCUUGAAGAACUGUAAUGCCAUUAAUUUGGUGUUGCAGGGAAUCAGGACUGUUACUUUGAAAAAUUAGAGUGUUUAAAGCAGGCUUUAGCUUGAAUACAUUAGCAUGGAAUAAUGAAAUAGGACGUUUGAUCCUAUUUUGUUGGUUUCUAGGAUUGACGUAAUGAUUAAUAGGGAUAGUUGGGGGCAUUAGUAUUCAAUUGUCAGAGGUGAAAUUCUUGGAUUUAUUGAAGACUAACUACUGCGAAAGCAUUUGCCAAGGAUGUUUUCAUUAAUCAAGAACGAAAGUUAGGGGAUCGAAGACGAUCAGAUACCGUCGUAGUCUUAACCAUAAACUAUGCCGACUAGGGAUCGGAUGAUGUUAAUUUUUUCAAUGACUCAUUCGGCGCCUUAC